GUCUAAAUAUUCAACUAUGAUUUUAAAUUGCAAAUUUAAAGGUAAAAAUUUUUUUUUAGAUU
rnacentral:tRNA from 1 species